rnacentral:lncRNA from 1 species
UGGGGAUUAAGUGACCUUGCGCAUAUCACUCUGUUUGAGAAGAAGCCCAGCUGCGAUUUGACCCCAGGCAACCUUAAGGCAGUAGCGUUUUACCUCCAGCAACACCGUCCUUCUCUGACUGGACAGCAUAACUGGGUAUGUAAGUUAACUGUAGUUUAUGUAAUUCUCUCAGGGUCAGGACACAGCUCCUUGAACGCACACCUUUCCGCCAAUAAGCUUUGGCCCAUGGUGUAAACUCCCACUGACUGGUUUCCCUGCAUGCCUGCCUGCUGCAAUGUUCACAAGCAGUAUGGGUGAGUGGGGGAAUCCCUUCUGUGGACAUCAGAAUCACACUAGAGCCAGACAGCCUUUGCACUACAGCAGAACAUUUCCUUGGCAGGAUGUGUUUGUGUAACCCUCGCUCCUGAUGUGACCUGACAGGGGAAACACACCUUCACUCUGACCCGUCUGAGCCUCUUUCAUAACACAGGCUUCUAUGGACAGUGGGAACUGUGAACUGCCCUGCAGUAGCCUCCUGCGGACCUUACAACUUUCUUUGUAUCCAAACGUAACGAGGCCGGUUUGCAUUUGCAAAGUCUAAGAAUUAUCUGUGACUGUUGUGCACCCCCUCCCCUGCUACUUGGUGGCCACCAUACGCCAUUCAUUAGGGGCUAUCCAAAUGUUUUGUUUGUUUGGGCAACAGGGUCUUACUAUAUAUAGUCCUGGCUGUCCUGAAACUCAUUUGUAGACCAGGCUAGCCUUGAACUCAGAGGUUCCACCUGCCUCUGCCCCAAGUGCUAGAAUUAAAGGCAUGUGCCACCACUGCCCGCUAACAUGUGCAUGUUUUAAGUUUUAAAUAUGCCUGUAUGUACAGCUGUGAACAACGUGUGUGCCUUAUGUCUGCAUAGGCCAGAAGAAGGUGUUGGGUCCCUAGAACUGGAGUUGCCCAAUGCUUGUGAGUUACCACACGGAUGCUUGGCCUCAAAUCUCGGUCCUUUAGCUAGUGCUCUUCACCAGCCCAAACACGGUCUUAAUGGUUGUAUUUCUAGCACUUCAGAGAACAGAGUUCUACAAUAGCAUGGGUAAUAGACUAAGUUCUCUGUGAACUUGUAAGGACAGUCAAAUUUCCUUGAAUCCCCGUGGAAGGUGGUGCUACAUCCACUCCAGUAGUGACAAGCGCCACAGGCUCUGAAAACCUGGGCGCUGUCCCGAGGCGAAAAGUUCACGGAAACUUAGUCUCCUGGAAUCGUGGCAUCCUGUAUAAAGAAUGCGCCAAUGUCCUUGCUUUAGUUGGUAAACGGAUCUGUGUGCUUUCCCUUAAUAUUGCUUUAUUACAAGUGCUCCUAAGAAUUGAUAUUUUGACAUAUAGCUAAGUUAGAUUCUAGGCAGUCCUUGA